UACGGGGGGAGCAAGCGUUGUUCGGAUUUACUGGGCGUAAAGGGCGCGUAGGCGGUCAGUGCAAGUCAGUUGUGAAAUCUCCGGGCUUAACUCGGAAAGGUCAACUGAUACUGCUCGACUAGAGUGCGGAAGGGGCAACUGGAAUUCUUGGUGUAGCGGUGAAAUGCGUAGAUAUCAAGAGGAACACCUGCGGCGAAGGCGGGUUGCUGGGCCGACACUGACGCUGAUGCGCGAAAGCGUGGGGAGCAAACAGG
rnacentral:rRNA from 1 species